rnacentral:rRNA from 1 species
UACAGAGGUCUCAAGCGUUGUUCGGAAUUAUUGGGCGUAAAGGGUAGGUAGGUGGUCUCAUUUGUCUGGGGUGAAAUCCUUGAGCUUAACUCAAGAAGUGCCUCAGAAACGGUGAGACUAGAGUUCUGGAGAGGGUCGUGGAAUUCCCGGUGUAGCGGUGAAAUGCGUAGAGAUCGGGAGGAACACCAGAGGCGAAGGCGGCGACCUGGACAGAUACUGACACUAAACUACGAAAGCGUGGGGAGCAAACAGG